rnacentral:rRNA from 1 species
GAUGAACGCUGGCGGCGUGCCUAAUACAUGCAAGUCGAGCGAACAGACGAGGAGCUUGCUCCUCUGACGUUAGCGGCGGACGGGUGAGUAACACGUGGACAACCUACCUAUAAGACUGGGAUAACUUCGGGAAACCGGAGCUAAUACCGGAUAAUAUAUUGAACCGCAUGGUUCAAUAGUGAAAGACGGUUUUGCUGUCACUUAUAGAUGGAUCCGCGCCGCAUUAGCUAGUUGGUAAGGUAACGGCUUACCAAGGCAACGAUGCGUAGCCGACCUGAGGGGUGAUCGGCCACACUGGAACUGAGACACGGUCCAGACUCCUACGGGAGGCAGCAGUAGGGAAUCUUCCGCAAUGGGCGAAAGCCUGACGGAGCAACGCCGCGUGAGUGAUGAAGGUCUUCGGAUCGUAAAACUCUGUUAUUAGGGAAGAACAAAUGUGUAAGUAACUAUGCACGUCUUGACGGUACCCAAUCAGAAAGCCACGGCUAACUACGUG